ACGUGAUUGGGCACAACACUGUGUGGCCAGGCACUAAGAAUUUAUUAUUUAAAACAAAAUUUAUAAAGUCUGUAUAGAUUUUGGAAAAAAAUCAUCAACCCGUUUUCAAGAAAAAAAAUCCAAAAUUAUUUUUUAAUACUCGUAUUAGAACUGAAAUCAGUUUAGUCUUUUAGGGAGAAUGAGAAAAUUAAAAAUCGUUGACAGGUACCGUUAAUAUUGGUCUAAGAUUUUUUUUUAAAUUUUAAAGUAGGAUAUUUUUUUCAAAAGUCGACAGAUUUUUGUUAUUGAAGUCGUUAGAGCCGUUUUUGAGAGAAACAAACUUUUCUACAUGGCAGAUACAGGUAAUUUUAAUUUUGCCUCUAAGGAAAAAACCCUGGAAAACUCAUAACUACAAAGUUUGAAGAAAACCACUUCAGUUGCCGAUGUAUUUUGAACGAAUGGUGGCGUUCACAACCCAGGAUUGACUUUGUGGCCUGACUUGACCCAAAAGCCUCUCCAGUCAGCUCGGUCUCUAGCUUACUGUCUCCAGUUGCGAGGUAGCAACCAUUUGAGAGCGCUACUUAAGAUGUGGUCUUCCUCUGCCACGUUGCCCAUCGGGGUUGGAUAGAAAAUUCGACGGGAUGCUUCCUGGCCACGUCUUUGUCGCUGUAAAGCUCGUUGUUGUAACUUUACCUUCGGCCAAACCCAUUUUUGACGCCUCUGUCUCAAUACCAGUAAACGCUUGCUUCGUUCUUCCGAUAAUGUCAAUAUGAUCCGCAUCGGAAUGUUGGGCAGAAGUACUUGAAGUACGAUGUUAAAGAGGUUGCAUUAUAGCUCAUCGCCUUGUCGUAAACCUUUUUUGACAUCAAAGGCAGCGAGAAUUCUCCAUGGGCUUCCUGCACAAGCGAACGAGUUUGGCAGAGAUGCCGAAACGUGGUUCUAUAUAGCACGUCUAAAUUUACUCUAUCAUAAGCGAUUUUAAAAUGGAUAGAAAUGGUGUAUCGAUUUGGUAUUCUUGAUUUUGAGAAGACUCUGAAUGA